GUGGGCGGGGACAGGUUAAGGUUUGAAGGAGGAAAAGCUCAAAUAUGGCCGACGACCGCCCGGAGAGAUAGUGGCCCCGAGCUGCAAGACAACUGGGGCUGAUAGGGAUCAGACACUGCAUCAAUAAGUCACACAUGACGUUUAUACCCGACCAACUCAAGUAGCAUCACACAAACCCACUGAAUAUCCCACAUACCCUAUUAGCGACCCAAAAGCAGAGGGGCAACAGGCAGAGCAGAUCGUCCGGCAACUGAUGCUAUAGAAUCUAUCCGUCGUGGUACCGUCGAUACCAGAGUUGAGGAGAGACAAAUGGAAGAGUCGUGUGAGAUGAUAACUGCCCAGACGAGGAGUCGCUACUGAGCGAGAGAGAGUAGAAGGAAGAGAGAGAGAAGCACUAUCAGCCCAUCACCACUAACCGGGUAAUAUAUUUCCAUUGGAUACCCUUGGAUCAUUCAACAACAACAACAACGUGGAUAUAUAUAGCGCCCUCCUCGCCGCACGGCGUCUCAGAGCGCUUUCACAUCUGAUUUAGCGUAUCAUCCAUUGUGAUAUUGCAUUUUAAUUGAGCAUCGAAUGACAAUGCAUUUCCUGAUAUCUAUUAAUGAAACCAUAUCCGAACAAUAUAAAUCAAGUGAAUUUGAUGUACACGCUUCAUUAAAUAAAAGCGUAUACUGUCA